rnacentral:rRNA from 1 species
GAUUGCGAAGGCAGCUUACUAAACUGUAACUGACGCUGAUGCACGAAAGCGUGGGGAUCGAACAGGAUUAGAUACCCUGGUAGUCCACGCCGUAAACGAUGAUAACUAGUUGUUUGCGAUAUACAGUAAGCGACAAAGCGAAAGCAUUAAGUUAUCCACCUGGGGAGUACGUUGGCAACAAUGAAACUCAAAGGAAUUGACGGGGGCCCGCACAAGCGGUGGAACAUGUGGUUUAAUUCGAUGAUACGCGAGGAACCUUACCUGGGCUUAAAUGUGGAGUGACAGCUUUAGAGAUAGAGUUUUCUUCGGACACUUCACAAGGUGCUGCAUGGUUGUCGUCAGCUCGUGCCGUGAGGUGUCGGGUUAAGUCCCAUAACGAGCGCAACCCACGUCCUUAGUUACCAGCAAGUAAAGUUGGGCACUCUGAGGAGACUGCCGGUGUAAACCGCGAGGAAGGUGUGGAUGACGUCAAAUCAGCACGGCCCUUACGUCCAGGGCUACACACGUGUUACAAUGGCCGGUACAGAGGGCAGCUACAUAGUGAUAUGAUGCGAAUCUCAAAAACCGGUCUCAGUUCGGAUCGGAGUCUGCAACCCGACUCCGUGAAGCUGGAAUCGCUAGUAAUCGCGCAUCAGCCAUGGCGCGGUGAAUACGUUCCCGGGCCUUGUACACACCGCCCGUCAAGCCAUGGAAGCUGGGGGUACCUGAAGUCCGUAACCGCAAGGAGCGGCCUAGGGUAAAACUAGUAACUGGGGCUAAGUCGUAACAAGGUAGCCGU